rnacentral:rRNA from 1 species
GACGAACGCUGGCGGCGUGCUUAACACAUGCAAGUCGAACGGAAAGGCCCUGCUUUUGUGGGGUGCUCGAGUGGCGAACGGGUGAGUAACACGUGAGUAACCUGCCCUUGACUUUGGGAUAACUUCAGGAAACUGGGGCUAAUACCGGAUAGGAGCUCCUGCUGCAUGGUGGGGGUUGGAAAGUUUCGGCGGUUGGGGCUGGACUCGCGGCUUAUCAGCUUGUUGGUGGGGUAGUGGCUUACCAAGGCUUUGACGGGUAGCCGGCCUGAGAGGGUGACCGGCCACAUUGGGACUGAGAUACGGCCCAGACGCCUACGGGAGGCAGCAGUGGGGAAUAUUGCACAAUGGGCGGAAGCCUGAUGCAGCAACGCCGCGUGCGGGAUGACGGCCUUCGGGUUGUAAACCGCUUUCGCCUGUGGCGAAGCGUGAGUGACGGUAAUGGGUAAAGAAGCACCGGCUAACUACGUG